ACAGAGGGGUGCUACCGGGUGACCGGAUGCCGAUCUCGAAAACCUGUCCCAGUUCGGACUGGAGUCUGCAACCCGACUCCACGAAGUUGGAUUCGCUAGUAAUCGCGCAUCAGCCAUGGCGCGGUGAAUACGUUCCCGGGCCUUGUACACACCGCCCGUCAAGCCAUGGGAGCCGGGGGCGCCUGAAGUCCGGGACCGCGAGGACCGGCCUAGGGCGAAACUGGUGACUGGGGCUAAGUCGUAACAAGGUAUC
rnacentral:rRNA from 1 species